rnacentral:tRNA from 2 species
AUCUGGCUGGCUCAGUCGGUAGAGCGUGUGACUAUUGAUCUCAGAAUUGUGAGUUCAAGCCCCAUGUUGGAUG